UACGUAGGUGGCAAGCGUUGUCCGGAAUUACUGGGUGUAAAGCGCGUGUAGGCGGCAGACCAAGUCGGCGGUGAAAGCGCCCGGCUCAACUGGGCGAGGUCCGUGGAAACUGGUCAGCUGGAGGACGGUAGAGGCGAGUGGAAUUCCUGGUGUAGCGGUGAAAUGCGCAGAUAUCAGGAGGAACACCGAUUGCGAAGGCAGCUCGCUGGGACGUGACUGACGCUGGAGAACGCGAAAGCGUGGGGAGCAAACAGG
rnacentral:rRNA from 1 species